CAUGCAUGUCUCAGUGCAAGCCGUAUUAAGGCGAUACCGCGAAUGGCUCAAUAUAUCAGUUUUGGUUCCUUAGAUCUUACUCAGUUACUUGGAUAACUGUGGUAAUUCUAGAGCUAAUACAUGCAAUCAGAACUCUGACCAGUGAUGGGAUGAGUGCUUUUAUUAGAUCAAAACCAAUCGGCGGAGGGCCUAGCGUCCGAAGUCGUUAAUUUUGAUGAAUCUGGAUAACUUUUGCCGAUCGCAUGGUCCAGUACCGGCGACGCAUCUUUCAAAUGUCUGCCUUAUCAACUUUCGAUGGUAGUUUCUGCGACUACCAUGGUUGUCACGGGUAACGGGGAAUCAGGGUUCGAUUCCGGAGAGGGAGCCUGAGAAACGGCUACCACAUCCAAGGAAGGCAGCAGGCGCGCAAAUUACCCACUCCCGGCACGGGGAGGUAGUGACGAAAAAUAACGAUACGGGACUCUUACGAGGCCUCGUAAUCGGAAUGAGUACACUUUAAAUAUUUUAACGAGGAACAAUUGGAGGGCAAGUCUGGUGCCAGCAGCCGCGGUAAUUCCAGCUCCAAUAGCGUAUACUAAAAUUGUUGCGGUUAAAAAGCUCGUAGUUGCAUUUGUGCGCCGCGCUGUCGGUGCACCGCAUCCGCGGUGAUACUGACACGUCUGCGGAGCAUAUCGUCGGUGAGCCGGCGGUAAAACGCCGGUUCAAUAUCAAAAUCCUAUCGCGGUGCUCUUCGGUGAGUGUCGAGGUGGGCCGACAAUUUUACUUUGAACAAAUUAGAGUGCUCAAAGCGGGCUCAAAAUGCCGCUUGAAUAUUUCGUGCAUGGAAUAAUAGAAUAUGAUCUCGGUUCUAUUUUGUUGGUUUUCAGAACUCCGAGGUAAUGAUUAAUAGGGAUAACUGGGGGCAUUCGUAUUGCGACGUUAGAGGUGAAAUUCUUGGAUCGUCGCAAGACGAACAUCAGCGAAAGCAUUUGCCAAAGGUGUUUUCAUCAAUCAAGAACGAAAGUUAGAGGGUU
rnacentral:rRNA from 1 species